UCCUGUAGCAAUACAGGGAAAAGUCUAGCGGCGAACGGGUGCUUAACACGUGGGCAACUUGCCGAGAAGUGGGGGAUAGCUCGCCGAAAGGCGAAUUAAUACCGCAUGUGAUCAGAGUGGACAUCCAUUCAAAAUCAAAGUCGGGGCAACCUGGCGCUUCUUGAGGGGCCCGCGGCCUAUCAGCUAGUUGGUGAGGUAACGGCCCACCAAGGCUUUGACGGGUAGCUGGUCUGAGAGGACGACCAGCCACACUGGGACUGAGACACGGCCCAGACACCUACGGGUGGCAGCAGUCGAGAAUUUUUCUCAAUGGGGGAAACCCUGAAGGAGCGACGCCGCGUGGAGGAUGAAGGUCUUCGGAUUGUAAACUCCUGUCAUUGGGGAACAAUGCGUGAAUAUUAACUGUAUUUGCGUUGAUAGUACCCGAAGAGGAAGAGACGGCUAACUCUGUGCCAGCAGCCGCGGUAAUACAGAGGUCUCAAGCGUUGUUCGGAUUCAUUGGGCGUAAAGGGUGCGUAGGCGGCGCGGUAAGUCGGGUGUGAAAUCUCGGAGCUUAACUCCGAAACUGCAUUCGAUACUGCCGUGCUUGAGGACUGGAGAGGAGACUGGAAUUCACGGUGUAGCA
rnacentral:rRNA from 1 species